rnacentral:rRNA from 1 species
UACGUAGGUCCCGAGCGUUGUCCGGAUUUAUUGGGCGUAAAGCGAGCGCAGGUGGUUUAUUAAGUCAGUUGUGAAAGUUUGCGGCUCAACCGUAAAAUUGCAGUUGAAACUGGCAGUCUUGAGUACAGUAGAGGUGGGCGGAAUUCGUGGUGUAGCGGUGAAAUGCUUAGAUAUCACGAAGAACUCCGAUUGCGAAGGCAGCUCACUGGACUGCAACUGACACUGAGGCUCGAAAGUGUGGGUAUCAAACAGG